AGUGAACGCUGGCGGUAGGCCUAACACAUGCAAGCCGAACGGCAGCACAGUAAGAGCUUGCUCUUACGGGUGGCGAGUGGCGGACGGGUGAGGAAUACAUCGGAAUCUACUUUUUCGUGGGGGAUAACGUAGGGAAACUUACGCUAAUACCGCAUACGACCUACGGGUGAAAGCAGGGGAUCUUCGGACCUUGCGCGAUUGAAUGAGCCGAUGUCGGAUUAGCUAGUUGGCGGGGUAAAGGCCCACCAAGGCGACGAUCCGUAGCUGGUCUGAGAGGAUGAUCAGCCACACUGGAACUGAGACAAGGUCCAGACUCCUACGGGAGGCAGCAGUGGGGAAUAUUGGACAAUGGGCGCAAGCCUGAUCCAGCCAUACCGCGUGGGUGAAGAAGGCCUUCGGGUUGUAAAGCCCUUUUGUUGGGAAAGAAAAGCAGCAGGUUAAUACCCCGCUGUUCUGACGGUACCCAAAGAAUAAGCACCGGCUAACUUCGUG
rnacentral:rRNA from 1 species